CCCUCCAAUUGCUCUUUGGCAUUCUAUUUUUUCCGUUUCUAUACAGCGAAGUGGCGGAUUUACCCUUGCUGGCCACGCGUCUCUCAUCGCUUCACCUUCUGUUUCUCGACUCUUCUACUUCAUUCCACUCUCUCAUUCAAAAAAUCAGAUCGCUCAUCGCUUCUCCAAACCUCUACUUCGACUACAACUUCUAAAUUUUUCCUUUUGUGUUCACUUAUCUCUCUCUCAAAUCUCUGCUUCCGUCGCACUCGAACUUCUCCAAACCUCUACUUCGACUACAACUUCUAAAUUUCUCUAUCUUCUUCUUUCGCUUCUCCUAUGCAAAUCUCAGCAUAAAAUUAGUUUUCAUGUGUCCUUAAAUGCUAAUCUUUUUCCUCUCUCUAAAAUCCAUCUAAAAAAAUGUAUAAUGGGUAUUGUUUCUCUCAGCAGGUUACUCGGAGAAGUGUGUGAAGGGUCAAUAGGACAAGAUGGAUUGCGUUUCAAGGUACAAAAAAUACAGGGCCUGCCUCUCUAUGCGUUUCCAAUCUUCCAUAAAUCAUGUUCGUGGAGGCGAUUUGAGAAGGAUUUGAAGCUCGGCUACAGAGAUUUGAUUCAAAUUGGUGGAUUUGGGUUUGAAGUUGGAGAGACCAAGAACUGGGCACCCUCUACAGACUGCAGUACUACUAUUGCUAAGCAUUUAUCUGUGGAAUGAUCCAUGUGGUUUCACCAAUGAACUCACAUUCUUGGAUGGCAAGAGGACUCAAUAGAGCUCAGUAUAUAACUCAGAAUCUAUUCAUUGAAAUGUGGCGAAGAUUGUCCAUGCUCAUUGCUCCUCUCCUCCUAGUUUUAUGGGUGAUACAAUUACGAAGGUACUGUACGAAGUUACAGAAUUUCAUGCGAACUUUUAAGCAAGUCCAGCUCAAGAUAUAGAUAAAAGGAUACAAGCUCGUAAAAAAAGGUUAGGAAUAUGUACCCCUUUUCUUGGCUUCGGUAUGACUAUAGAAGAAUGUACUGUUCACAAAGGCAAAACAGUGAACAACUACUACUUCAUAUGGGAAGAAGAGGUUGAAGUCACUGGUUUUAUUAAUGCUGGUGACCGAAAUCAAUCCAAGUUAAUGUUAAAACGAUUUCACUAGUUUUGUUACAGUGAGGACUAAGAACUUACAACAUUUUCUUUAUAUCUCUCAUUUUUUAAAUUAAGAAAUUUACUUUUUUAUA